UAUAUAGUCAGUGUCACCACUAAAGAGAAGAACUCCUUAUUAUUAGAAUUCAACACAUCCACAGUUGUGAAUAGCAUUACGUCCUCGCCCCAGUACACGUGGUGAAGGAGCAGCUGGACUGGACCAACAAUAUCACAAGGAGUGUUUUCAUCUCAUCUCAUCAUCAAAUUCGAGAGGUUGAGAACUCCAUAUCAGAGGCAGGGCCAUCUACAAAAUAUCCAUGUACAGGUAGUGAUGAUGCUCCCUAAUCUGUACCAUUCAUGUGUUAAUGGUUUAUGCGUACUCAGAAACAUCAUGUUACAAAACCAAACUCUGCAAUUCGAUCUUUUAUCAUAACAUAAAAGUCAUAGUGUUAAACUGUCUGUGGGGAUUCCCUUCAAUUUACAACCUCACUAAUGUCCUUGUAGCUGAAUGAACACAAAUCCCCAAAGCCACAUCCCAAAAUCUAGUGUAAAUCCUACCCAGAAGAGUGGAGGAGGUUAUUAUAACAGCAAAGGGGAAUAAAUCUGGAAUGGGAUGUUCAGCAAGCAUAAAUGGGUGUGAUGGUCUGGGGUGCACAUACUUUUCCCCUAUAGUGUAAGCCUUUACUGCUUUCCUGUUAGUCUGGUCUUUGAGUUAAAAUCAGAGUGAAAUGAAUACUUUUGGUUUGUGUGUUAUUUGGUUUGUUUUUAUUUCUCAUCUGCUGCACUGAUGCUACACAUAUAAAACUUAUAUACCAUAAAGAGCAAUACACACAGUAUAUAAAAACACUCAAAUAUAUACAAAUCUCUCAUGCUGGAGGAAAAAGCAGAGGUUUCGUGGAUUAAAAUGGAUUCAUGUCAUACACAAUGCUCCAUGCAAUCAUACAAUAAGCACUAAUCACAAGUAGAAUUAGUACACGUGUUAAAAAAUAUUCUGGUUGGUCUUUUUAAUCUUUUGAUAAACAGGUGAAUAGUCUCAAUAACACAUUUACACCAGUCGCCCCUGUACAUAAAUAACUGUGCAUAUUGUGAAAUUUGACUCAUUUCUUUUAUUUUCAGACUGGUCAAAAGUAAAGACCCCAAGUCCUAAACAGACCUGUGGACCACAGCACACAGAAAGAUCCAUCCAUCCAUCCAUAUUUUAUACCACUUAUCCUUUUCUUCAGGGUACACCCUGGACAGGGUGCCAAUCCAUCACAGGGCACAAUCACAUACACACUCACACACCCAUUCAUACACUACAGCACACAGAAAGACAUGCCACUACAGGACACUUUAGACAUGCCAAUCAGCCUACCGUGCGCCCCAAAGAAAGACCAUAAAGGCCAUAAAUCUGCUAACAGCAUGAAGAAACCCAAUACAGAUAAAGUAAACCUUCAAAGAUAUCACCGUGAACAUUCCUGGCCAGAAAAGCCUGGUAGAUUUGUGUCUGAAGGCGUUAGGGAAACCUACACUGAUGACAUUGAGGCUUUAUCUUGGGCUUUAUUUAAUAAUCUUAAAGGUAAAGCAUCUCAGGAACUUAGGCAUCCAGUUAUUUUAAAUAAUGACACAUGCAUAAUAUAUGAUUUCGAAAUAGAAUGGGCGGGUAAUAAGUACAAUUGGUUAAAAUUUAAUUUGUUUACAUCUGAGGAUGACAUUAAUUGUGUUUUAGACAACUGCUAUGAACUUAAGUGCAGUGAAGACAUCCUGAAUGUGAUUGUACACUACGCAAGUGUUGGUGAAAAGGAUCCCAAAUAUUUAAUGUUAAAUGGCUGGAUUUAUAAACUGUAUCCAAUGAAGCUUUAUGUAUUUCUAGUAGGAAAACAACUCACUAGAAAUGAAAAUGCAGAUAAAAUAAAAAAAGUUAUUGAAGGACAGCAUAAGAAGUAUGAAUAUAAAGACAUUCGAGAAGGAAUAAGUAACUGCAAAGAAAAUAGUCAAGAUUUAUAUGUUCUGUAUGCUGAGUAUGCUCAGUACUUCAGAGAGACUUUACUGGGCAUCUAUACACACGGAACUUUUGACCCCAAUAAGGAAGCUUGGUUUACUACAUACUUUUUAGCAACAGUGAUUUCAGAGUCUGCAAGAAAUUUUAGAUCAUUUAUCAUCACACUCAUAGCUUUAGAUCUGAGUCUCAGCCAAAAUCUUGAAACCCAAAACAAGGGCCUCGAGUUUCUUUUAGAGAACCUUCCAAUGGCGAAAGGGGGAACCUGGAUAAACUCUGAUAGAAGGGGGUUUCAUGGGGCAAGCACUGUGGGAGGUGGGAAAAACACAAAACUUAAAAAGCUAAUAGAAGAAGAGGAUAAAAUGUUUGAGACAUGGCUUUCAGUCAGUAGUAAAACAAAGAUUGAUACAGAAAUGAUUAAACGUCUCCUCAAGUUGUUAUAUGGUGAACUCAGACUCAAUAAAGAUCCCUCAGUUCUAGAAACUUUUAUUACAAAUUUUAUAGAUUUUAAAAAGGAAUAAAUUAUUUAAUUCCUCCUGAAUUACUGAGAGGAUUCCUCCAUGAUUUACAACUCAAAUCUUUCUGCACAACAAUGAUGUAAGAUUCAUCAGACAACAUUCAGAAUCUAUAUCUGUACCUACAUGAUAAAAGCUGCUCACCUCUGACACCAUCAGUACAGACACUUGUCUGUUCAGCUUUUUCUACAGACAACUCUAAAAUAUCUAUAAAUCCAGAUGUUCUGUCCUCACUAAACAUGUGGAUUCUGUUUCACCAACACUUUAGUACAUACCCUGAAGAUUUAAGCUUAGGUCUUUGGAAGAAGAGGGGUAUACUUCACUGUACAGACCGGUUUAUGGCUGAAACGUUAUUCUGUUUACAUUUAAAUAAUUUCUUUUCUAAAUUUAUCCCACUGAAAUGCCACGUCUUUAUAGACACUGUAAAACAACAGUGCUUCAUUUUCCUAUUUUUUCCAUCUGAAAUUUUUUUAAACGGUUCAUUGAUGAGACCACACAACUUCAGCAGUUUUAUAUCUAAUGCAACAUUAAAAAUAACACCCAGUACAUCUCUAAAUUUAUCAGUAGCCUCCUCUCUGUAUAUCAUAGAACACUCGGAGCAGUGUGACAUAGCGUCUCUACAGACCAGGUGGAGAAAAGAGUUUCAAUUACGCUAUUCCUCAUUCUGUGUUUACUCCAGCUUUACAGAAUUUCACAGAAUACAUCUGCAGUCUGACUGUCAGCAGCUAAACUAUUCCAGUCUCUAUCUAAAUUAUCCCAGUCUGUAUGGAACUAGAAACAAUUCUAGUCUGUAUGGAAGUAGAAACAAUUCCAAUCUGUAUGGAACUAGAAACUAUUCCAGCCUGUGCAGGAAUGGAAACAAUUCUAUUCUUUGUGGAAAUGAUUCCAGCAGGUUUUAUUUCUGCUGUGUAUACCCCUCUUCUCUCCUUUAUAAAAAGUGAUUCAGGCUUUUAGAACUGUGUACCAUGACACUUUUCAAGAAAUAUACAUUUAUGUAAAAAUAGAUUUUUAAAAAAAUCAAUACAUUUAUUAUAAAUGUACUGAAAUUUUUUGACAGUGAUUUUAAAUAGUUGAUUUUAUAUACGUGGGAACAUUCUUCGCACUGUAAAGUGGUGCUAUCACAUAAAUAGGGAAAGUAUGAGUGGCUCUGAGGGGAGAGCUUUGAGAGGAACCGAUGGCAUUUAAGCCACGGGGGUCAAACUCGAAGUGAAGAUUCCCUUUUCCCCAGAUGCACUUAGUGCUCCCUACUCUCCUCAGUGGACAGGACUCAUGUCAGGUAGGAAAAGUGAAUAGUCCAUGAACAGUGUUUGGAAUAAGAGUCAGAGUUGUUUGGUUGACUAAUGUCAUAUAUAUAUAUGUAUAUAUAUACACACACACACAUAUAUGACAUUAGUCAUAUAUAUAUAUAUAUAUAUAUAUAUAUAUAUAUAUAUAUAUAUAUAUAUAUAUAUAUAUAUAUAUAUAUAUGUAUGUAUAUAUGUAUGUAUGUAUAUAAUGUGUGUGUGUAUGUGUGUGUGUGUGUGUGUGUGUGUGUGUGUGUGUUAAAACACAAAAUAUUUGGCCAAAUCUUACUAUCUAAGUGAGUGACUAUCAUAAGAUAGUGCUGCUGCUGCUGUUUCUGCUUGUGUUUUAGAGGAACCACAGAGUGAGGCGUACCUGAAGCUGUUGCAGCUGAAUCGAGAAAAGCAGACUGCUGGGACUACAGCUGCUCCUAACGCCAUACAGACUUCAUAUAAAUCCAUAAUGAACUUUUUCACACUAUCUGUUGUGACCCAGAUGAGGACGGGUUCCCUUCUGAGUCGGGUUCCUCUCAAGGUUUCUUCCUCUUUAAACAUCUUAGGGAGUUUUUCCUCACCACCAUCGCCACUCAGUGGCUUGCUCAGUUGGGAUAAAUUCACACCUUUAAUAUCUGUAUACUGUGUUGAUAUUUCUGUAAAACUGCUUUGAGACAAUGUCUAUUGUAAAAAGCGCUAUACAAAUAAAAUUGAAUUGAAUUGAAUUUUGCACCCUGCAGAUCUGUCCGUCAUCGUCGAGACAAGAGACUGAAUUACACACAAACACACACUAGUGACAACAUAAGUCUGUACACAUAAAUGGUUUUACAUUGCAUAAUAUUAUAUUAUAUUAUAUGUAGUUAUUGGUGUUUGGGGAUAUGUAAUAUGUAAUAUAUGUAAUAUGUCGGUGUAAGUUCUUUGGGCAUGUGGUGUUCAUGCUGUACAACGAUUAAUAAUUCACUCCAUAUUUCUUUUUAAACACUGCCUAUUUCCA
ensembl:lncRNA